ensembl:snoRNA
UUUGCAAUGAUGAGAGGCGCAGGGGUACGUACCUCAGCUGAUAAUGGGAGCUGGGUGCCAUUGCUUGUUCUCAGAUCAGUGGGCCUGUGGCCACCUGGCUGAAACUGCAUUGGCAUGACAUAGUCGCCAGGUCUGAGCGCU